AACAAAGCUUAAAAGACCUGAGCUCAAUCCAAAGAAAACAAAGCCGAGAAUGCCUGUACAGGUACAGGUUCCAGUUUUAAAAUUGCUGAGCGAGCUAUAUAUCCUCAGAAAGUUGUUCGUGUCUAGUUUCCAACGCAUCAAUGGUGCAGGAUCUGGAGCUUUGUACCAAACGUUAUAACCAAUUUACUUACAAGUGCGCGCGCUGCAAUAACAGGAAUCCAGCAGAACCGAAAUCUUUGUGUCAAAUUUCACAACCUGCAUGACUGCCUCCUAGUCAACAAACAUUCAAUGGAGCUUUGACAAUCUUACUUCCAACCCACUUGCAUGUCAGUAGCUUUAUUUGUCAAUAAAGACAGCAACCUAGGCCAAAGAUUGAACACAGAUGAUAGAUGGUUGAAAAAACGUGCCUAGAUGUAGAAGAAGAAGAUAUGAAAAGAGAGCGGGGAAAGAAGAGACGCAAGUGAAGGCAUUCUGUGAUAAAAAGUAAAUGGGCUUUGUGAGAAGAGGGCUGUGGAUCUGAGACGGUGUCGCUUAACAGGCAUUGCUGAGAUAAAAAGUAAAUGGGCUUGUAGCCCACACAUGAUGGGCUGACAAAAAGGAAUGGGGGGUUCGGGUCUGGUCUUGAUGUGCAAUCAUUAAUAUUUGAAGAGGACAAUAACCAAAUUGUCACACUUAACACGUUUAGUCUACUCCGAAAUCUUAGAAAAUAAGAAUAAUAAAGGGGUGAUUAUCAUUUAUCCAUAACAUUAGGAGGAUAAUUCUUAUCCUUAAUUCUUUAGGCUGCCUCGAGAGAUUUGUCUCUUCUCUUCUCUCUUCGCUUCUUAAUCUCAUCCUCCCAAGUAAUGUUGCUUCAAAGAACAAAAAAGCUCCUUCAUGGAUACUUAUCCACCGGCCCCUAAUGAGUUGAAAACUGAGUUUGUGACAUAUUUAUCUCCUCCUAUCAUGGUGGCUUAUCUGGUGGGGCCCCGGAAAUUAAGGGCAGUGGACCAUGGUGUGUCUGGCUCCCUCGAUCAUAAAUGGUAAAUGCAAAGCUUUCAGCGUGGAAAUAAGGCUAGAGAAGUGGGCCUUUUCUUCCCCCAGGCCCUCAAUUGCACAGAAAAAAUCCUGGUUAUCUGUCCUCUAGACGAUGGCUAAUGGAUAGUGGUUAUCGUCUGACUUCUGUGCUGUAUCUUCUACACUCGUGGAAGAUGACACCGUAACAGAUGUAAUGAUAGUAAUCUUGGUAACCAUGCACUCCGGCGACCGAUGUUGCUCUCUUUGUUCUCGUAAUUACUUGUCCAGGAAAGAAUAUUGGAUGGAGGAUUGGAAAAAGAAGGAGUGGAUAUGAGGAGAGGGGUCGAGAAGGAAGGAUUUGAUGUUUGUAUAAAAAGGACAACGAUAUAAGAAAGUAUUCUUCCUCCUUGUAAUUCUUAAUCAUUUUCCAUUUAGAUGGAUAUCGACUCUUAUCCUUUCUAUUUUUUUAAUAAUAUUGAUUCGGAUGAAUGGA